UAAUACUGAGGGCGCAAGCGUUGUUCGGAAUUACUGGGCGUAAAGGGCAGGUAGGUGGUCUGUUAAGUCUUCUGUGAAAAUCCGGGGCUCAACCCCGCGAAAUGCAGGUGAAACUGGCAGACUUGAGACCGGUAGAGGCUAGCGGAAUUCCUGGUGUAGCGGUGGAAUGCGUAGAUAUCAGGAAGAACACCUGUGGCGAAGGCGGCUAGCUGGGCCGGUUCUGACACUGAGCUGCGAAAGCGUGGGGAGCAAACAGGAUUAGAUACCCUGGUAGUCCACGCCGUAAACGAUGGGCACUAGAUGCCGGGCAUAUAGACGUGUUCGGUGUCGUCGCUAACGCAUUAAGUGCCCCGCCUGGGGAGUACGGUCGCAAGGCUG
rnacentral:rRNA from 1 species